GUAGGGAAUAUUGCACAAUGGAGGAAACUCUGAUGCAGCGACGCCGCGUGCGUGAUGAAGGCCUUCGGGUCGUAAAGCUCUGUCGCAGGGGAAUAACACAAUGAAGGUACCCUGUAAGAAAGGAUCGGCUAACUUCGUGCCAGCAGCCGCGGUAAGACGAGGGAUCCUAGCGUUGUUCGGAAUCAUUGGGCGUAAAGCGGAUGUAGGUGGCUAUGUAAGUCAGAUGUGAAAGCCUGGGGCUCAACCCCAGAAGUGCAUUUGAUACUGCGUAGCUUGAGUGUCGGAGAGGUUACUAGAAUUGUGGGUGUAGUGGUGAAAUACGUAGAUAUCAACAGGAAUACCGGAGGCGAAGGCGGGUAACUGGCCGAACACUGACACUGAGAUCCGAAAGCGUGGGGAUCAAACAGGAUUAGAAACCCCAGUAGUCC
rnacentral:rRNA from 1 species